rnacentral:rRNA from 1 species
CCCGCUGAACUUAAGCAUAUCAAUAAGCGGAGGAAAAGAAACUAACAAGGAUUCCCCUAGUAACUGCGAGUGAAGCGGGAAGAGCUCAAAUUUGAAAUCUGGCGGUCCCUUGGGCUGUCCGAGUUGUAAUCUAGAGAAGUGUUACCUGUGCUGGACCGUGUACAAGUCUCCUGGAAUGGAGCAUCACAGAGGGUGAGAAUCCCGUCUUUGACACGGACUGCCUGUGCGAUAUGGUGCGCUCUCGAAGAGUCGAGUUGUUUGGGAAUGCAGCUCAAAAUGGGUGGUAAAUGCCAUCUAAAGCUAAAUACUGGCGAGAGACCGAUAGCGAACAAGUACCGUGAGGGAAAGAUGAAAAGAACUUUGGAAAGAGAGUUAAACAGUACGUGAAAUUGUUGAAAGGGAAACGCUUGAAGUCAGUCGCAUUGGCUAGGGAUCAACCUUGCUUCUGCUUGGUUUACUUCCUGGUUGAUGGGUCAGCAUCAAUUUUGAUCAGUGGAAAAAGUUCAAGGGAAUGUGGCAUCUUCGGAUGUGUUAUAGCCUUUGGACGUAUACAUUGAUUGGGAUUGAGGAACUCAGCACGCCGCAAGGCCAGGUUUUUUACCACGUUCGUGCUUAGGAUGCUGGCAUAAUGGCUUUAAUCGACCCGUCUUGAAACACGG